rnacentral:tRNA from 1 species
GCGCCUGUGGCUCAAUUGGAUAGAGCACUAGUCUACGGAACUAGGGGUUAGAAGUUCGAAUCUUCUCAGGCGCG